GAGUUUGAUCCUGGCUCAGCCUGAACGCUGGCGGCGUGGCUAAGACAUGCAAGUCGCACGGGUGUAGCAAUACACCAGUGGCGGACGGGUGAGUAAUGAAUCGCUAACGUGCCCCGGACUCUGGGAUAGCCAGCCGAAAGGCUGGGUAAUACCAGAUGACAUCACCUUCAGGCAUCUGAGGGUGCUCAAAGGUCCGCCGGUCUGGGAGCGGGCGAUUUCGUAUCAGCUAGUUGGUGAGGUAACGGCUUACCAAGGCGACGACGCGUAGCCGGACUGAGAGGUUGGCCGGCCACAUCGGGACUGAGACACUGCCCGGACUCCUACGGGGGGCUGCAGUAACGAAUCUUCCCCAAUGGGCGCAAGCCUGAGGGAGCGACGCCGCGUGGAGGAUGAAGUCCUUCGGGAUGUAAACUCCUGUCAGGGGUUACCAAGUUCUGAGGAUCCCCAGAGGAAGAGGCGGCUAACUCUGUGCCAGCAGCCGCGGUAAGACAGAGGCCUCGAGCGUUAGGCGGAAUCACUGGGCUUAAAGCGCGUGUAGGCGGAUCGUUAAGUGCCUUGUGAAAUCCCGCGGCUCAACCGCGGAACCGCUGGGCAUACUGGCGGUCUUGGGCCACUCAGGGGUCACUGGAACAAGCGGUGGAGCGGUGAAAUGCGUAGAUAUCGCUUGGAACGCCGAAGGUGAAGACAGGUGACUGGGGGUGUGCCGACGCUGAGACGCGAAAGCCAGGGGAGCAAACGGGAUUAGAUACCCCGGUAGUCCUGGCCCUAAACGAUGUCCACUGGAUCGCGGCGGUUUUGAC
rnacentral:rRNA from 1 species